rnacentral:lncRNA from 1 species
AAAAUUCUAGACAGCUCCUAACUGGUUUGAAGAGAACACCUAAGCCUCCAAUCCGGUCUAGUAACCUUAGUCGACCAGGUAAGCUCCCAGGUAAGUGGAGGGGUCACGAUGCGUAUAGCAAAGGUCCCACUUAGAACCCACUUUCCUCGAACAGAAACUGUCUCCCUUCAAUCACUUAGAGGGACAAAGCUUGCCUAGACAUCGACCUGGGCCAUAGAGCGAAAUUGGUGCAACUUUCAGUGGUCUUCGUCCUAUUGAGCUCGAAUAUCCUUAGGGGCCAACGUCUAGUUGAUUUUAAUUAGGCUUAGGAUAUUUAUGCACUUGGAUGAUUUUCGGGCUAAGGACGAGUGAUGAAAUCCCGACCU